GCGGGGGGACGACCCCCCGCUCCCCCCGGUUCGCUUCGCUCAGUGUCUCUUGCGGGGGGACGACCCCC
rnacentral:ncRNA from 1 species